CUAUGUGUUGUUGGGUAGGGGAGCGUUCUGUAAGCCUGUGAAGGUGGCCUGUGAGGGUUGCUGGAGGUAUCAGAAGUGCGAAUGCUGACAUAAGUAACGAUAAAGCGGGUGAAAAGCCCGCUCGCCGGAAGACCAAGGGUUCCUGUCCAACGUUAAUCGGGGCAGGGUGAGUCGACCCCUAAGGCGAGGCCGAAAGGCGUAGUCGAUGGGAAACAGGUUAAUAUUCCUGUACUUGGUGUUACUGCGAAGGGGGGACGGAGAAGGCUAUGUUGGCCGGGCGACGGUUGUCCCGGUUUAAGCGUGUAGGCUGGUUUUCCAGGCAAAUCCGGAAAACCAAGGCUGAGGCGUGAUGACGAGGCACUACGGUGCUGAAGCGACAAAUGCCCUGCUUCCAGGAAAAGCCUCUAAGCAUCAGGUAACAUCAAAUCGUACCCCAAACCGACACAGGUGGUCAGGUAGAGAAUACCAAGGCGCUUGAGAGAACUCGGGUGAAGGAACUAGGCAAAAUGGUGCCGUAACUUCGGGAGAAGGCACGCUGAUAUGUAGGUGAAGCGACUUGCUCGUGGAGCUGAAAUCAGUCGAAGAUACCAGCUGGCUGCAACUGUUUAUUAAAAACACAGCACUGUGCAAACACGAAAGUGGACGUAUACGGUGUGACGCCUGCCCGGUGCCGGAAGGUUAAUUGAUGGGGUUAGCGGCAACGCGAAGCUCUUGAUCGAAGCCCCGGUAAACGGCGGCCGUAACUAUAACGGUCCUAAGGUAGCGAAAUUCCUUGUCGGGUAAGUUCCGACCUGCACGAAUGGCGUAAUGAUGGCCAGGCUGUCUCCACCCGAGACUCAGUGAAAUUGAACUCGCUGUGAAGAUGCAGUGUACCCGCGGCAAGACGGAAAGACCCCGUGAACCUUUACUAUAGCUUGACACUGAACAUUGAGCCUUGAUGUGUAGGAUAGGUGGGAGGCUUUGAAGUGUGGACGCCAGUCUGCAUGGAGCCGACCUUGAAAUACCACCCUUUAAUGUUUGAUGUUCUAACGUUGGCCCGUAAUCCGGGUUGCGGACAGUGUCUGGUGGGUAGUUUGACUGGGGCGGUCUCCUCCUAAAGAGUAACGGAGGAGCACGAAGGUUGGCUAAUCCUGGUCGGACAUCAGGAGGUUAGUGCAAUGGCAUAAGCCAGCUUGACUGCGAGCGUGACGGCGCGAGCAGGUGCGAAAGCAGGUCAUAGUGAUCCGGUGGUUCUGAAUGGAAGGGCCAUCGCUCAACGGAUAAAAGGUACUCCGGGGAUAACAGGCUGAUACCGCCCAAGAGUUCAUAUCGACGGCGGUGUUUGGCACCUCGAUGUCGGCUCAUCACAUCCUGGGGCUGAAGUAGGUCCCAAGGGUAUGGCUGUUCGCCAUUUAAAGUGGUACGCGAGCUGGGUUUAGAACGUCGUGAGACAGUUCGGUCCCUAUCUGCCGUGGGCGCUGGAGAACUGAGGGGGGCUGCUCCUAGUACGAGAGGACCGGAGUGGACGCAUCACUGGUGUUCGGGUUGUCAUGCCAAUGGCACUGCCCGGUAGCUAAAUGCGGAAGAGAUAAGUGCUGAA
rnacentral:rRNA from 1 species